rnacentral:tRNA from 2 species
AGGAUAAUAGUUAAUAAUAACAUUUAAUUUGCAAUUAAAAAGAAUUGAUAUAUCAAUUUAUCUUA